CAAAAAAUCAAAUACAAAAUCAUAUGGCUAUAAGGGAUGCAAGUGGACGGCAUCUGCAUGUCCGCGAAGAAAAAAUUGCAUUAAUCUUUGUUAGUUUAACAACCGUGUUAGAUUAUUUUUUCUGUUCGCGGUCACUCACGGAUAUGCGGACGCCAUCCACUUAAACAAGUUAGAUUUUGCAUAAUAUUGAGAACAUAGAUAAUUACAUUGAUCUUAUCCACAUUAGCUUACAAAGUACAUUUCUAACAUUAAUUAUAUAUAAGCUACUUGGUAACAAAUGAAACUGAACCAAAAUACUAAAUAAAUAUGUAGUAUUGAGUUAAUCACUAAGGAUCAACUCUUUCUUUCUUCCCGCCCCUAAAUUGCAUAAGAAAUUCUUGACUGUGAUUUUACUCUUUGUGCUUAACAUAAGCUACUGGAUAAAAAAUCAUCUUCCAACAUACUUCCUCCGUUUCUAAAUAUUUGUCUUUUUAGAGAUUUCAAAUGGACUAUCACAUACGGAUGUAUAUAGACAUAUUUUAGAGUGUAGAUUCACUCAUUUUGCUCCGUAUGUAGUCACUUGUUGAAAUCUCUAGAAAGACAAAUAUUUAGGAACGGAGGGAGUAUUACGUUGCAUUGUCUUAAUAAUCUUUGAAGUAGAAAAUACACGCUUGGCACUUGUCCUAGAAAAUAUAAAAUCAAUGGUCUUUCUUUUAACCAUUAUGUCUCUAAACAACAAUUUUUAAUUAGAACUCCAACAAGUUAAGAUGAAACAUGAAAGGAUCUACACUGAAAAAGCAUAAUCAAAAGAGUUGUAAUUCCCAGUGGGGAGAGUGAGGCUAGACUGCUCUUGUUGCUCAUAGCAUCACUUGUACAUGACACCGGCAGUGGCCUGAUGCGUAAGCAUGGCCGCGACUAGACGAGCCCAGGAGCUCUAACCACCAGCCUCUGGCAUCUGGCCCCAACACCAGCAAGCUCCAGUGGCAUGUGUCCUGGCUCCCCGACCCCAUGCUCAUGUGUCACCGGUAGCAAAGUCCGCGCUAGACAAAAGAGUAGAAGACGCGCUACAGUAUUGGGUCGCUGCUUGUUUGUCUCCUAUGCAGAGCGUGAGAAGGAUGUGAUAACUGUGCCUUAUGAGUUGUAGUGUGCAGUACUACUACCUGGUACUAAUUUUUUUCCUUUUUGCUGGGAGGCAACUGCCCAGGUUCGCCCCUGUGAAGCUCUGUCUUUGCAUGCUAGUACUCUGGAUACUAUGUCAACUAGAUUGUUGAUUGUUUGUGUGGGCAAAGCAACCAAAGUUGUUGAUCGGUAUUAUAUAUCCUCUCUUUUCAGGGAAAUCAUGAUGGUUACUGGAACAAUCUCCUUCUAAUGAUCCCAUUUUGUUAACUUAAAAACAUAUUUGUUAACUUAAAACAGAUUUCCUGACUGAAUGUUUUUGUGAUUUAAAGGUACCGAGGAAUGUUUAAAGGCUACAUUGGUGUUUCUAGCAUGGAGAAGCAACUUCAACUUGGGAUACAGAUUCACCAGCAUAUGUACAUGCAUCUCAUAGAGGGAGAGCUCUUGCAUGGAUGACCAUAAUGUCACUCUGGAUGCUUCUCCACAAGAUUUGAUUCUGGAGCCUAACGCUGGUGUUGCAGGGAUGUUUGGAUUUUUAUUGAUAAUGCAUCUGGAACUACCUCAGCUUGUCACUCCUUGGAAGCCAACCUCUUGAUAGUUAAUGAUGUCGGGUGCAUGUACAGAUAGCAUGUUGUAACAAGUUUAUUUGAUACUCGGCGUGACCAACAAAUGCUUGUACAUGUUGGUCACGGUGUUCUACUUGCAAUGACUAACUUGUCAUAGCUUAUUUUUUGAAUUUGGCCUUUAGUUGACUACAUAACUGAUGUAUGCGUUCAUUGAUUAUGAAUCUGAUGUGGUGCAUAAU